UACGUAGGUGACAAGCGUUGUCCGGAUUUACUGGGCGUAAAGAGCGCGCAGGCGGUCGAUCAAGUCGAGUGUGAAAGCCCCCGGCUCAACUGGGGAGGGUCAUUCGAUACUGAUCGACUCGAAGGCAGGAGAGGGUAGUGGAAUUCCCGGUGUAGUGGUGAAAGUGACGUAGAUAUCGGGAGGAACACCAGUGGCGAAGGCGACUACCUGGCCUGUUCUUGACGCUGAGGCGCGAAAGCUAGGGGAGCAAACGGGG
rnacentral:rRNA from 1 species